GGUUAAGUGAAUAAGGGCGCACGGUGGAUGCCUUGGCACUAGGAGCCGAUGAAGGACGGGACUAACACCGAUAUGCUUUGGGGAGCUGUAAGUAAGCUAUGAUCCAGAGAUUUCCGAAUGGGGGAACCCAAUAUCUUUUAUAGGAUAUUACUUUUCAGUGAAUACAUAGCUGAUUAGAGGUAGACGCAGAGAACUGAAACAUCUUAGUACCUGCAGGAAGAGAAAGAAAAUUCGAUUCCCUGAGUAGCGGCGAGCGAAACGGGAAGAGCCCAAACCAACAAGCUUGCUUGUUGGGGUUGUAGGACUCCGAUAUGGUAGUCUGUUAGUAUAGUUGAAGGAUUUGGAAAAUUCCGCUAAAGAGGGUGAAAGCCCCGUAGACGAAAUGCUGACAACACCUAGGAGGAUCCUGAGUACGGCGGAACACGAGAAAUUCCGUCGGAAUCCGCGGGGACCAUCCCGCAAGGCUAAAUACUCCCUAGUGACCGAUAGUGAACCAGUACCGUGAGGGAAAGGUGAAAAGCACCCCGGAAGGGGAGUGAAAUAGAUCCUGAAACCGUGUGCCUACAACAAGU
rnacentral:rRNA from 1 species